rnacentral:lncRNA from 1 species
CCUUAUCUGGUCUAAUUUAAAUAGAUAAAGUGAAAAGCUACUCAAAACUGUGCAGGAGCUCCUCAGAUAAAGUGCUGUUCUCAUUUUUCUCCAGAUAGCCGGUGGCGGCCGUGGCAUUCAGCUCGGCAUAUCUCAGGAUUCCAGAGUUUUAAAAACGUGAGGCAUUAUCCCGCAAAGCUCUGAAAAGCUCCAUCCACACGUCUGCUGGCGUCGUUUCUGCUUACUCACACAGCGGAGCAGCGAUACACUGACUACAGGGACAACAGACUCCAGUUCUUCUCUUCAGGCCUCUAGAGCACAACCAGGGUCUCCUGCACCACCUUCAGCUGUCUCAGAAUCCCCCGAGAUGUGUGCACAAGCUGGCGUGGUCCUAUAUCGAGCAGGCUCGGCUCUUUGUUCUAAUAUGUCACAGUAUUUCCUGGAAUGUCCUCACUGAACUCGGCUGCGUGUAGAGGGUGUGAUAUAUUCAGCUUGGGGGAACUGCAUCAGGAUGACGACAGGAUGGCGAUGAAGUGUUAAAGUGAUAGAAACCUUUCACCAGGUUCCUCCCUCGGGCCUAAAGUCAUCAAACCCAUCUCUGCACUGCCUUCCUAGGUGAACAUGGGCGCACUAAACUGAGUAGAGUAAUAGUUUACUAUCAAAUUUACAUACUUUGCCCUCAUACCCAUAUUCUUUUUUUUUUUAAUUCUAUAAUAAAAAAAUGCUAUUACAGUUUUACA